UUAAAAACUAAGAUGAGAAGUAGUAAUUUUCCUGCAGCUGAAAGAGAACGGAGUCCAGCGGCUGAAAGAUUCCGGCAGUUAAAGAAAAUGAAGUCGUCUCUGAGUUUUACUGGUGAACUAAAAUAUUGAAUUUCUUAAUUUUAUUUUGUUUAAGUAAUCAGUAACGGCAAAGCAGUCGUUAAAAAAUGAGAGCUUCUUGGAUUAACAAGGAGAACUAAGGUGGUACCGCGAAUUUAAUGCUCUUUCGUCCUUAAC
rnacentral:ncRNA from 1 species